GACGAACGCUGGCGGCGUGCUUUACACAUGCAAGUCGAACGGAGACCCACCUUCGGGUGGCAAUCAGUGGCGAACGGGUGAGUAACACGUGGGCAACCUGCCCCUCACAUUGGGAUAACUCCGGGAAACCGGAGCUAAUACCGAAUAUCACCUCGGAGGGCAUCCUCUGAGGUUGAAAGGGUUUCUGGUGAGGGAUGGGCCCGCGGCCUAUCAGCUAGUUGGUGGGGUAACGGCCCACCAAGGCGACGACGGGUAGCCGGCCUGAGAGGGCGACCGGCCACACUGGGACUGAGACACGGCCCAGACUCCUACGGGAGGCAGCAGUGGGGAAUAUUGCGCAAUGGGCGAAAGCCUGACGCAGCAACGCCGCGUGAGGGAACGAAGGCCUUCGGGUCGUAAACCUCUUUCAGCAGGGACGAAGCGAAAGUGACGGUACCUGCAGAAGAAGUACCGGCUAACUACG
rnacentral:rRNA from 1 species